CAGUAGCCGCGGUAACACGGAGGGUGCAAGCGUUAAUCGGAAUUACUGGGCGUAAAGCGCACGCAGGCGGUCUGACAAGUCAGAUGUGAAAUCCCCGGGCUCAACCUGGGAACUGCAUUUGUGACUGUAUAGCUAGAGUACGGCAGAGGGGUAUGGAAUUCCGCGUGUAGCAGUGAAAUGCGUAGAUAUGCGGAGGAACACCGAUGGCGAAGGCAAUCCCCUGGGCCUGUACUGACGCUCAUGCACGAAAGCGUGGGGAGCAAACAGGAUUAGAUACCCCAGUAGUCCCUGUCUCUUAUAA
rnacentral:rRNA from 1 species